rnacentral:sRNA from 1 species
CCACACACAGCAAGAAAGAUACAUCUGACCAGUCUCAACGUCAACGUAUUUCCCCUCUCACCCUGGCUUCCAGGCAGCUCUGAAAUAUGUCCCACCUGUGCAGCUACGUGACUCCCUCCCGCACACGCUUAGACACCUCUGCAUGCAGUCAAAGUCACUGUCACAAGCCGGCAGGCACUGAGAUGGGGUCUUGCUGUGUUGCCCACACUGUUCUCCAACUACUGGCCUCAAACGAUCCUCCUGCCUCGGCCUCCCAAAGCACUGGAAUUUCAGGCAUGCGCUAUCUUACUGGCUGUUCACCCCCCUUUUACUCCUCUUUAAUUUUUACAAGCACUUUUUUUU